GGGAAUCUGGCAGACGUUGUGAGUUGGCGUGAAACGUGCCUUUCGUACAGACUAGCUUUUGUGCCUGAAGGUGAUACCGAAUACGCCCUCCGGGGGAAAGAUUUAUCGGUGAAAGACCGGUCCACGUUAGAUUACUCUUCUGAUGAGGUAACGGCUCAUGAGGCUACGAUCUAUUACUGGUCUGAGAGGAUGAUCGCCCACCCUGGAACUGAUCCACAGUCCAUACUCCUACAGGAGGCAGCAGUGGGGAAUAUUGCACAAUGGGCGACUCCCUGAUGCAGCCAUGCCGCGUGAAUGAUGAAGGCCUUAGGGUUGUAGAAUUCUUUCUGCCACGAGGAUAAUGAAAGUACUUGGUAUGUAAACCCCGGCUAACUUCGAGCCAACGUCCACGGUAAUAACCCUUGGGCUAGCGUUGUUCGGAAUUACUGGGCGUAAAGCGCACGUAGGCGGACUUUUAAGUCAUAUGUGAAAUCCCGAGGCUCAACCUCGGAACUGCAUUUGAAACUGGCAGUCUAGACAUCCUGAGAGGUUAGUGGAAUACCCAGUGUCAAGGUGAAAUUCGUAUAUAUUCCGGGGAGCACCAGUGGCGAAAGCGGCUAACUGGACUGAUACUGACGCUGAGGUGCGAAAGUGUGUAGAGCAGACCGGAU
rnacentral:rRNA from 1 species